rnacentral:lncRNA from 1 species
CCCCUGGAUCCGUCCCUGCAUGGGAACAGGUUUAGCAAUGUACAUGUAUACCCAUUAUGAUAUCAAUUUUACUUGCCAAGGGGAAUUUGUUGCUCAGUGGGUUAGGCUUGGAAAAAUAAAUGUUGGAUCUAAAUGGACUAAAUACAUUGGUUCAUUAACCCACUGAUAAGCUAGACUCUGAUUUUUCCUGUGACAACUUAACUUCGUUGUAUAGUAAACCUAAACGAAAUAUUGUUGGGCUGUUGCACCAUUGCAUUGUUGCACCAAAAAAGUUUAACCAAAGAUCUGCUUGGUGGAGAGCAUACCAAGCUUAGCCUAAUGACUUGUCUUUUGAGCAGAUAUAGGCAUGAGGAUAUAUUCUUAAGCCUGGCGCACAUAAUGCGAUAUUAGUCGGCCGAUAAAAAUCGUAUGACUAAAACUACAUUUGUUUUCAAGUUCUUUCUUAAAAAUUUUAGUCUUCCAAAAGUUUUGAAUGAUUAUUGAUCAUCCUAGCCACACCAUUGCAAGUGUACUGCAUGUUUAUUAGUGGAUAUGAGUGUAUAAAAUACAGUAUUAAACCCAGCUGGGAUAGAAUAUUUGCAAAGCUGUAAACAAACAUAGGUACUUAAACGUGCAGAAAUAAAUUUAUGAACACAGAAAAAUAAAAUGUGAGUUUUGGGUGCAUUUGUCUGUCAUGUAUGAAGAAUGGGUUGAAAUAUAUUAAAUUUUAAUCAGUAGAAAGACAACAAAUCAGGAAUAUUACCACAAAAAAUACAAAACCUGUAAUUAUUUAUUAAUUUUCCUACCUGUAUGUCUGGCCGUUAAUCUUUCUGAGCUGUAUUUAAUUAGUCCUUCUGUUUAGCCGCCAACAGUCCGAACCGUUUCUUUCGCUUUUGCUCGUAAACAUCGAAUCUCGCAAAUUUUCGCCUUUGUAAAGACGAUUUGACGUUUUACAUCACAAUAUACGAAAAACAAAAAACAUACAAACUUUAACACAUGUCUUGACUUCUAUACGAACCAAAAAUUAAGUGAAAAGAAGCCUUAACGAAGGACCCCAUACAAGCCGAAAUUGUCACGUUUUUACAACUUGGAAUAAAAAGACGGCAUUGAGCGAAAUGCUUCGAGCAAAAAGCCUUCUAUUUUAAAAAUAUUGCGUGGAACCUUGGGAAUAUUCAUAUCAUUUUAAUCCUCUAGAAACCCUCUAUUUCCCUAUCACCCCCAAAUAACCAUCAAGGAAAACGCGCACAAAUAACCAUCAAGGAAAACGCGCUCGAGGAAUUUAAGGAAAUUUUCAGUAUUUUAAUUCGCUACCAAGCUCCUUAAUUUUACGCGCGCCAGCGAAAAAAAUUGGUACAUUUCGAAUUUGCAAUUUUGCGUGCAAAUUAAAAAUGCCAGUGCCAGACGUGUUAUUAAACUUAAUUUAAAUAGCAUAGUAGAUUGUUAGAUAGCUUUAAGACCAAUUCGAAUUUAUAGGUAUUUUAGAUUGAAUAUGUACCAAUCAACGAAAGAAGUAUAGACGACCCCAAAAAUGCCAUUUCUGACAAUCUAGAGUGUCUAAAUUCUCAAAAUGUUCUCGUUCCGCGCCAACCAUGGUGGCACUUCAUGCGUUUUGCCCCCAACCCAUAUACUGCCCUUUAACAUGUUAACCUAUCAUAUUGGCUCAAUUGUAUUUAAACAUGAAAAAAAAUUGCAUAGCCCCCCCCCCCCCUCCUACGGGGAACGUAAGUACGUAACUCCUCCGCCCGGAAAUUACUGGCGCCACCCCUGACAAUGUUUUGUUGCCCACAUUGUUCAUCGUUGUAAACAAUAUUAUUGCUCAACAUUGUGACAUCCAAUUCAGGCCCAAUAAUAUUGUUCAAUAUUGUUAACAACUGUAAGCAAUUUGGACGACAGCAAAUCAUUGUUGAUAAAAACAGGAUUGAGUAACAAAUUGAUAAUUUUUUAUAUAUGUAUGCACGUAUGAGUUAUUAGGGUAGGAUUAUAUAGGAUUAGGACUUAGUUCAAGGUUGGGAAUAACGGUUCAGGAAGGGAUUAAGUUUAGGAUUUUGGUUUGGAUUAUCAUACAAAAAGUCUAAAAUAGAGACAACCCCUAAGAGUGAUAGGAUAAUUUUUUGUCGUGCAAUUCCGGCACGAACAACUUGAAGCUUCAUCCACUCAGAGAAAACUGUCUAUAAGUUAUUCUACUUAUUUUGAGAAUAUACUAGAUGGACUGAGGGCUUUUGUGAACGAGAACAAUAUGUGAG